ACCAGCCCCACCAGCACCUCACCUACACCCGGUGGAACUUUGGGCAUGUCCAAAAUGGAUGCACCGAGCAUGCAGGACGUCUAUAUCCUCUCCCCUGUUUCCGGACUCUAUAGCACCAGGGAGGAGAUGGGUCUGAUGUCAUGUGACGACAUCAGCCGCUACAGCGUUAGCUCCCAGUCGGGCUCUAAAGGUUCAGAGGCGGUCAGUUACUACCUGGACCAGGACAGCGGUCAGUACUUCUCCUUGCUGGAAGGAGACGGACCGCCGGGACCUGACUAUGACAGGGGUCGCAAUACGGGGAUUCGUCGGCGAGACAAGACCCCUACCCACGAUUCAGACAACUCCCUCCUGCGCUACCUUAGUGACGACAAGAUCCUGGUGAUCGAGGAAGAACCCGAGGGUCCGAGCAGAGAAAGCCGCCGGGAUUCCACCAGACGCUCUCGACGUAAGAGCCGUAAUCCCAGCAGCCCUAGCUUUCCCAUCAGUCCCUCCAUGCUGUCCUCCACCCUGCGCCUAGACCAGCCACCUGAAGCUUUGCCUGUAAGUACAUUAGUUUUGAAAGUUUAUUGUUGCCUUUAAAUACAGGGC
rnacentral:lncRNA from 1 species